rnacentral:rRNA from 1 species
CAGUCGCCGCGGGAAUACGAAGGGGGCUAGCGUUGCUCGGAAUCACUGGGCGUAAAGGGUGCGUAGGCGGGUCUUUAAGUCAGGGGUGAAAUCCUGGAGCUCAACUCCAGAACUGCCUUUGAUACUGAAGAUCUUGAGGUCGGGAGAGGUGAGUGGAACUGCGAGUGUAGAGGUGAAAUUCGUAGAUAUUCGCAAGAACACCAGUGGCGAAGGCGGCUCACUGGCCCGAUACUGACGCUGAGGCACGAAAGCUAGGGGAGCAAAUGGGAUUAGAUACCCGCGUAGUCCCUGUCUCUUAUAA